GACGAACGCUGGCGGCGUGCUUAACACAUGCAAGUCGAACGGAAAGGCCCUGCUCUUGUGGGGUGCUCGAGUGGCGCACGGGUGAGUAACACGUGAGUAACCUGCCCUUGACUUUGGGAUAACUUCAGGAAACUGGGGCUAAUACCGGAUAGGAGCUCCUGCUGCAUGGUGGGGGUCGGAAAGUUUCGGCGGUGGGGGAUGGACUCGCGGCUUAUCAGCUUGUUGGUGGGGUAGUGGCUUACCAAGGCUUCGACGGGUAGCCGGCAUGGGAGGGUGACCGGCGACAUUGGGACUGAGAUACGGCCCAGUCGCGUACGGGAGGCAGCAGUGGGGAAUAUUGCAGAAUGGGCGGAAGCCUGAGGCAGCAACGCCGCGUGCGGGAUGACGGCCUUCGGGUUGUAAACCGCUUUCGCCUGUGACGAAGCGUGAGUGACGGUAAUGGGUAAAGAAGCACCGGCUAACUACGUG
rnacentral:rRNA from 1 species